AUUUAAACUUUUUAUUAAAAACAAUGAUGGAAUCAGGCCGUAAACCCUUUCAGAAUUAUGUUGUUCCGAUGUCGGAUUUGUUUUCCAAAAGACAUACAUUCUCGAAGAACGGUCCUACAUUAUUUCAAAACUGAUAUCAAGUGCGAAACCUUAAAAUGGAAAAUACAACACAGCAAGAUAUUUAAAAGAUUUAUAGAGUUUGUGAUUUACAUUUUUGUAAUCAAGAUCGUACCUGGAAUAAAAAGAGGUUUAGAAGUUAAUUCUAAAGUUUUUAUAUACACCAGUUCAUAUGGAUUUUUUAAAUUGUAUCUAUCAUUUUAGAGAAAGGAUCAGAUAACCCAAAUCAGGAAUCUUCCAAAGUGCAGAUGAUGCAGUUUUUGUGAGUGAGGUAUAAUAUCUGUCUCUUGUAAGACCUCUUUUAUGAAUUUAACCCAGGCAGUUGUUUACAACCAAAUUAGAUCUCAAGCAUAGCAAAGGAAUGGUACAACCUGUGAAUUCAGUUUAAUUACUGAGAUCACGGAUGAUGAAACAUUCAUUAUGAUUAUACAGAGCUACAAAGAGUUAUGUUGAGAAUCCAAAUUAGCAUAAUGAAUUGAGAC